GUCCGUCCGUCGGUCACCCCGCCCGGGCUCCCGCACGCCGAGAUUCCUUCCCGCAGCCCAUGAUGUGCCUGGAAAGCGACGGCUCCUCCGGCAGCAGCCCGGGCUGCGGCGGGCGGCUCCGAGCCGGCGACGAGGAGGAGGAGGAGGACGGCGAGCGGGGCUGCUGCGGCCGGGGCGCCGAGGGCGAGGUGCAGACCCUGUCGGGCAGGAUGAACCCCCCGGCGGCCGGCAAGCACCCCGACCGCCCCGCCGCCCUCCGCAAGGCGCCGACCCUCGGCCGGGCCCGGGUAGCGGCCGCCGGCAUCCUCAGCGUGGGCAACGUGCUCAACUACCUGGACCGGUACACGGUGGCAGGUGUGUUACUAGACAUCCAGCAGCACUUUGGAGUCAAAGACAGUGGGGCUGGCUUGUUACAGACAGUUUUUAUCUGUAGCUUCAUGGUCGCGGCGCCGAUCUUUGGUUACCUUGGUGACCGGUUCAACAGAAAGAUCAUUCUCAGCUGUGGGAUCUUCUUUUGGUCAGCUGUCACUUUUUCAAGCUCCUUCAUCACUGAACAGUAUUUCUGGCUCCUUGUGCUCUCACGGGGUUUGGUUGGCAUCGGUGAAGCGAGUUAUUCUACCAUUGCACCAACCAUCAUCGGGGACCUGUUCACCAAAAACACCAGGACCCUCAUGCUGUCUGUUUUCUACUUUGCAAUUCCCCUGGGCAGUGGCUUGGGAUACAUCACUGGGUCGAGUGUGAAGCAGGUUGCUGGAGACUGGCACUGGGCACUGCGGGUAUCUCCACUCCUGGGAAUGAUAACGGGGACACUCAUCUUGAUAUUUGUGCCUGCUGCUAAAAGAGGAAAUGCUGAGCAACUUGGGGGGCAGCUGAAGGCUCGGACUUCAUGGCUGAGAGACAUGAAAGCAUUGAUUAGAAACCGCAGCUAUGUGUUCUCCUCCCUGGCCACCUCAGCUGUCUCCUUUGCCACGGGGGCACUUGGUAUGUGGAUCCCGCUGUAUCUUCACAGAGCACAGGUGGUGCAGAAGACAGCAGAGACCUGCAGCUCCCAGCCCUGUGGCACCAAAGAUAGUUUGAUCUUCGGAGCAAUCACUUGCUUCACUGGCUUCCUGGGUGUAAUCACAGGGGCAGGAGCAACCAAGUGGUGCCGCUCCAAGACGCAGCGAGCUGAUCCUCUUGUCUGUGCAGUUGGAAUGCUGGGAUCAGCCAUCUUCAUCUGCCUGAUCUUCGUGGCUGCCAAGAGCAGCAUCGUGGGAGCCUAUAUUUGCAUUUUUAUCGGAGAAACUCUUCUGUUCUCAAACUGGGCUAUCACAGCAGACAUACUAAUGUACGUGGUCAUUCCAACUCGCCGUGCAACCGCCGUGGCCUUGCAGAGUUUCACUUCACACCUCCUGGGAGAUGCUGGCAGUCCUUAUCUCAUUGGAUUUAUCUCCGACCUGAUACGACAAAGCACAAAGGAGUCUCCAGUCUGGGAGUUCCUCAGCCUGGGUUACGCGCUCAUGCUCUGCCCGUUUGUCGUUGUCCUGGGAGGGAUGUUUUUCCUGGCCACAGCCCUCUUCUUCCUAAGUGACCGAGCAAAAGCUGAACAACAUAAAGAAACCGAUUCGGAUCAUCUCACGGUUGGCAACUACAGUAAUUCGGAAGACGCUUCCACAUGACAUACAAACUUCUGGGGGUGAAUCAGCUUGUGAUGCCACCAGCCUCUGUGAAAGUCUGAGACGCUGCCGGUGGAGGCAGUGACACGUGGACUCCUGCUCCCACCACACCAGUCUCAGAGCCCUUCUGUACUGGAUAUCAGUGGAUCCUUCAGCUCCACUUCACAGAGGGGUGGUCCAGCACCAAAUCCACCCCUGCAGCCUGCAGGGUCAGGCACCAGGAGAUGAGCGGGGCAGCCGGGGACACGGCAACUUCUGCAACACAAGGACAUUCACGGGGUCCCCUGAGCAUGGAAACCAGCUCUGCACUGGACCCAGAAAGUGCUGCCCAAGUGAGCAACUGUAGAUUGUGUAAAUGGUUUUAGUUGUAGCCAAUGAAGUCCACACUGUAGGGCAGCUGGUGUCCUAUGAAUGCUGCUGCUCUGCCAGCACUCCCACAGACUGCACUAGCUGAGGACCUGUUCUGUACAUCACCUUUUCUUUGACACUGAAGGCUUGACUCAGAUUAUUAUUUUUUAUUUAAAUACGUUAAAAGAUGCUUUAUCUCUGCUGAAGACAUUAGAUGAGAUAUAUAUAUAUAUAUAUAUACUUAGAUGAACAGUUUUUAUUUAAACAUUGGAAAUCUGGACCUGCCUGUGCAACCAUAGCAGACAUGAAUAACGUCCACAGCUCUCCUCGGUGCCCUGGUGCCAGGGCCUGCAAGGGCACCACAGGAGAACUUCCAGUGGGUGAUCUACCUGAGCACUGGGACAGAGGAGAGAGUUUCACUGCACUGGGUGUGCUGCUGGUUGUCACAGAAAGACCCAGAAGAAUGUUGGACAGAAAUCCCUAUGGGCUCUGGAGUUUUCCAUAUGCUAAAUUCAGCCUUCCUAGGAGGUUCACAGGCUUUUAAAAUACCAAAAUCCAUGUGGCUGAAUGGCUGUACCUAGGGCCUGGGAGUGCAAUACUGCUGUGCCAGUGACCUCGUGCUUUGUUUACAUGAUGCCAUAUCAGACUGUCAAUGCUAAUCCUCCCUGUCAAUACUCCAGAGCAGGUGGCUGACACUGCCUUUGGAGCAGUGCUUGGCUUCCUGCACCCCAACCCUGCCUGUCCCAGAGCGCUGUCACUGGGGUGUCACUUGUACCUUUACAGAGGUGCAUGUGAGAGCUUUCACACGAGGCCAGUGCCUCAGCUGGGUUAGGCUCAAAUGCAGAAACACCUCAUGGUGCCAUUCCACUGGAGGCUGGUCCGCUGUGCUGGGCCUCCAAAGCCAGAGUUACACUGUGUCAGCUGGGUGGGCGAGGAAGGGGAGCACGGCUCCUGAAGAGCGCCAGGCUGCCACGGGGAGGGCACUGCCACAGGAGGGGCACUGCCACAGUGAGGGCACUGCCACAGGAGGGGCACUGCCAUGGGGAGGGCACUGCCACAGUGAGGGCACUGCCACAGGAGGGGCACUGCCAUGGGGAGGGCACUGCCACAGUGAGGGCACUGCCACAGUGAGGGGCACUGCCACGGGGAGGGCACUGUCACAUGGAGGGGCACUGUCACAGGAGGGGCACUGCCACAGGAGGGGCACUGCCAUGGGGAGGGCACUGCCACAGGAGGGGCACUGCCACAGUGAGGGCACUGCCACAGGAGGGGCACUGCCAUGGGGAGGGCACUGCCACAGGAGGGGCACUGCCAUGGGGAGGGCACUGUCACAGGAGGGGCACUGCCACAGUGAGGGCACUGUCACAUGGAGGGGCACUGUCAUAUUCAGUGCACUGUCACAGGAGGGGCACUACCACUGUCGGGGCACUGUCACAUGGAAGAGCACUGCCACAUUCAGGACACUGCCACAGGAGGGGCACUGGCUCCUCAGGCCCCCGUUCCCUCUGUUCUGAGCCCUCUGUCCCAGUUCAGGUCCCCCCUCCAGUUCAGCACACCUGGAGCAGAUGAAAGCACCUCAUCCCUGUGCUCAUGGCUCACAGGUGACUGCACCUGGGAGGACUAAACCAGCUCACGAAAUGCCAGAGCAGGACUAGAUGUGAGUUAAGGCUGGGAGCUGCUGUCCUGGUUGUGCCAGAAGAUUACUCAGGCACAGGAAGGAACUGUUAGUAAAUCUGGGUUUAUUUCCCAUUCCCUGCCAGGAUGUGCUGGGACCUACAGCAUAGAUGCUUCUAAUUCCAGAUGCUCACCCCACAGUAAGUCCCUGCCCAGGCUGGGGAUUCCUGUAAUUCCGUGAGCCUUUCCUCCUCCCAGACCUCACAGGACUGCUCUGCGAGGGCUUUGUCACCUGAAAUUCCCCAACAACAGCUCUAAGACUCGGCUAAAGCAGAGCUGGAGUGUUCCUCUAGUGCCUGAGCAAGCAGGUGCUAGAAAUAACAAAGCAAAGCAAAUCCCAACAAUGCUUCACUUCCUACCUCGUGCCACUAUUUAUACUCACACAGUCGCUGUAGUCUGGGAGCCAAACACUUGGCUUUAAAGGCACAUGAAUUUCUGAUUCCCAUUAAGAAAUUCCUUUUUAAGCUGUUUAAAAAGAAACAAAAAGCAACCCAACAAUCAGUCAUUUCAUCUCAGAGACCAAAGAAGAUUAACCACAUUUCCUAAAUUGUUUUUCUGAUAGGCUCUCUGUUGUAGCAUUUACUGUCAAAAAAACCCAGAACAUUUCUGCUAGGGUUCAGAGAUUAGGAAUUCUCCUUAAACUUAAUUCUCAGGAGUCAACAAUGAAAAGGGAACUGACGUGUUCUGUAAUGUCACGGCAGUCCUUGCUUGUGACAGGGUCCAGUCCCUGUCAGAGCUCGGUGCUGGUUUUAUCCUUUGUGCACAUGAAGGAAACGCUGUGGAUUCUCUUCAAACAAGGACAGAGGGAAGGGAGCAAACGAGCGAGUCCUGCUUUCCCUGAGAGAUCCCUGAAUUCCUGCUCCCACAUGUUCCAGGCUAAGAGAGGGAGGCUCAGGCUUCUUCCAGAUCCUUGCUGCAUUCACCAGGGUCUGUGCCAGUGCCCAGAGGCACCGGGGAGGCUCCAGCUGUCCCCAGUUAAUCACAAGGGUUUUCUACUCCACUUCAUACAGGGGAUUUUUUGAUGCAUCAACUCCCCCCAGCUGAUCCCGAAUGGCAGUGAGGUGGUUGGGACACAGAGUGGGAAACUGAGGCAAUGGGAUGUGCCCAAGGAGGCAAGAGAGUGACCCUAAAGCUGCCAACCCAAGCGGCUCCUGCUGCCACUGUCCCCAGAGCAGGUCUGGGUGGCCCCAGGAGCCUCUCCCCUUACAGUCAGGGUGACUAAACCCCAUAAAUGUCUGGCUGUGCUCUGGGAAGCAGAGUUGUUCCAAGUUCCACCCCAAAUGCUUGUUUUCUCCAUUUGCUUUAUUGUCUGGUAAACCAGCACUUACAAUCACCUUUACUACGUGAUGUACGGGAGUAUUAGUAUAUUUUCUUGUUAUACAAGGGAGGAGUAUAAAAUAGUUUUCUGAUUUCUUUCAGAAGCAAAUUACUAUUUUAUUUUUUAAAAGCAACUGAUUGCGAAUCUCAGAG